rnacentral:rRNA from 1 species
CUACGGGGGGCACCAGUGGGGAAUAUUGCACAAUGGAGGAAACUCUGAUGCAGCAACGCCGCGUGGAGGAUGACACUUUUCGGAGCGUAAACUCCUCUUAUAUAGGAAGAAGAUGACGGUACUAUAUGAAUAAGCGCCGGCUAACUCCGUGCCAGCAGCCGCGGUAAUACGGAGGGCGCAAGCGUUACUCGGAAUCACUGGGCGUAAAGAGCGUGUAGGCGGAUUAAAAAGUCAGAAGUGAAAUCCUAUAGCUUAACUAUAGAACUGCUUCUGAAACUCUUAAUCUAGAAUAUGGGAGAGGUAGAUGGAAUUUCUGGUGUAGGGGUAAAAUCCGUAGAGAUCAGAAGGAAUACCGAUUGCGAAGGCGAUCUACUAGAACAUUAUUGACGCUGAGACGCGAAAGCGUGGGGAGCAAACCGGAUUAGAUACCCCAGUAGUC